rnacentral:misc_RNA from 1 species
AUGCAACAUUUUAUUUUUGCCAUGAAUAAUACCUUUUGUCAUGAUGACCUAGGUUGCUCUUGAUGAAGAGUAGUUGUCUUGUGAUUUUUUGGGGAUUAUUGCUAUUUAGUAGGUAGUAGGAAUAUUGUUUAAAAAUUUUUUUAACAUCUUAUUUUUAUUUCUAUUGAUUUCAAAAACAUCAGAGCUAGAAUUCCAAAUGUUUUAUGUUAUUAACAUAAGUUGUAGUCUUACAUAGUAUUAGUUGUCUCAUUUAUUUUAUUUUCUUUGCACCUCACCUCUCUCAAUUGUUCACAUAGGCUCCAGGACUCUUUUGCA